GAUGGGAUUUUUCUCAUCUACUGCUCCAGUUCACAUAGUUCGAGGUACUGGCUUUGAGGAGAUCUGGUUUUCUGGAAAAAAAAAAAAAAGGAGAAGGAACUCGGUGAAUAUUGCCCUGGGUCCUGGUAAUUCCACCUACUGAAGACAGCUGCCCCUUCUGCUCAUAUUUCCUGAGUCAACAUGGCCACUCUUAACUUUAAAGAGACUUUAGACAUUCUUUGUUACAAUGAACCUAGAAGAAAGAAGAGAAAUAAUAACUGCCAUGGAAGGAUGCUCCUCCUGCCAAUUGGCACUUAUCAAUGACAUCGAGGGAGAGGGACAGAGUGCCUAGGUAUGAGCCUUCAUCAAGUGGUAUGAAGGCCCUACCCCAACAGAAAGUGCUCAUGUGAAGAAAUGAUGCUUUGGACAAGACUUUCCUCCAAGUUGGUCCUAUCCAGGGGUUGGCAAAUAGGGUCCCUGGACAUCAUCCUUGUUGCGUACUCUUAUGAAUAAAGUUCUAUAGGACAC
rnacentral:lncRNA from 1 species